GUCAGACGAAGAAAGGACUGGUGGCCUCUGGGGAUCCUGAGCCUGUCUCCAUGGGAACCAGCUCACCCACCCCCUCUCUGGCAAGUGUCCUAGUGGGAGCCAUGGGAAACCAUGGGCUCCAGCCCCUGGCCGCUGACUGGUUGGCGGCCUUCCGUUUUGAGAUCCCUGGCCCAGGGUAAUGGAGGGGACCUCAUCUUACAGAAGACACAGCGAGGGUGUGGAGAGGCUGUGGGGGAAGCACAGCCUGGCCGGCAGCUGCUGGGUGUCCUGGCUUGAGCUCAGGGCACCUUUGUCCCAGGGUGGGACCCUCAGGUCUCAGGGGCUGCUCCAUCCCCGUUGAGGGCUCCCUUCAUUCUUGAUGUCUGUCCACUCACAGAGGGGGCGUCAUGCCUCUCCAAAGACCCCCACAUUCCAGUCCUUGUGUCCCUGAGGUCGGCCUCCUGGCGGCCACCUCACAGGGAAGGCCCUGGACACAGGGCCCUGGCCUAAUGCAGCAUGGCUUCAUCUUAACUAGUUACGUGUGCAAAGACCCUGUCUCCAAACAAGGUCAUAUUUUGGGCUUCUGAGUGGAAGUUGGUUUGGGGGACACUCAUCAACCCAGCACAAUGCUCCCCCUCACCAUGUUCGUUGAAGAGAAGACUCUUGGACACCUGGAGGCCACCAGUCCUUUCUGGAUCCCCAGAGGCCACCAGUACUUUCUUCCUCUGACCUGAAACAAGAGCUAGCAGGGGCUGGCAGGCCGACUGCGUCUGCUGCCAUUUUGAGUACUGGCCCCAGCCGCAAUGCCCAGGACUGAGUCAUGGAGAUUCCCUCAGAAAUGGUGCAACCCAGUCUGUCCACAGAGUGAGGGGCGACAAGCCUGGUGGCCCCGGCUUCAGUGCAGGCCAUCCUUUCCACCUAUUGUCUCCUUUUGGUCUCAUGGGGACCCGGUUCUUGUCCUCUGCCCUGUAGCAUGGCUACGACCCUCAUGGGCCACAAACUUGAUGCCCUCAGGCGGCUAGACUCUACCCCAGAUCCGGGGCUGGCAGCGGCAUGGAUGUGGUCAACUGGCAUGCAGUUGUUACCCAGACACCCUCCCAUCAGCACUUUUUUAGGGGGUGAGUGACAGAAACUCAACUUGGGCUUAAAGGUGAAUUUACUGGUUCCUGUGAUGACAGAGUUCAAGGUUCAGCUGGACCUGGUGCCUCCAAUGACGUCACCAAGUCUGUCUGUCCAUCUGUCUGAGUUCAGCUUCCUCCAGGUCUUCGUUCUCCAGCAGGCCUUCUCCUCAAAGUGGCCAGCCCCUUGCUGCAGCCACACUGGCCUCAGUUACACUGGCUCCUUCCUGCUCCUCAUCUGUACAGGGCCAGGUCCUGAAUUAGGGGGGCCUUUGUACAUACAGGCACCAGAACAUUCUUCCAGAGCUUCACUGGAGCCUUCCUCUUCAGCAUGACCGUCCCUGGCCACCUGAUCCAGAGCUGGCGGCUCCCAGGCAUAGCCCAUCCCUGCUGCGGCUCUGCACUGCCCCAGUCCUCACCUGCAUGCAGGGGACUAUUCACAUGCUGACCGUCUGUCCAUCUCCCGUAAGAACGUCGGCUCCUUCCACGUCUGCUGGGCGUGGAGGAUCCCUCACAGCCUCCCCGACCUCAGAGCCAUGAGAGACUUGCAAAGCUUGAAACAAACUCUGAAAGGACUCUUCACAGAUAAAUUCCUCCAGGUGCAUGUUUCAAACAAUUUUAUUAUCUAACCCAAGAGUAAGUUAGCAAUCGAUUUCCUAAUCUUUAUUGAUUGGCAGUGGGCAGGCUAGUGUGAUUAAAGAUGUGAGAGAGACUUGCCAAAUAAAAUGCAUGAGCAGCCUUCAUGAGCUUAGCUCCAAUGUGCAGAGUGAUAGGGUCAGGGAAGUGUGUGUAUGUGUGCAUGAUUGUGUGAGAUCAGGGUAGUGUGUGUGUGUGUGUGUGUGUGUGACAUCAGGGCAGUGGGUGUGUGAGAGAGAUCAGGGCAGUGUGUAUGUGUAUGUGUGAGAUCAGGGCAGUGUGCGUGUGUGUGUGUGUGUGACAUCAGGGCAGUGUGUCUGUGUGCAUGAGUGUGUGAGAUCAGGGCAGUGUGUGUGCAUGAGUGUGAUAUCAGGGCAGUAUGUGUGUGUCUGUGUGUGUGUGUAUGAUAUCAGGGCAGUGUGUGUGUGUCUGUGUGUGAGGUUAGGGCAGUGUGUGUUUGUGUGCAUGAGUGUGUGAGAUCAGGACAGUAUGUGAGAGAGAGAGAUCAGGGCAAAGGGCAGUGUUUGUGUGAGAUUAGGGCAGAGUGUGUGUGUGUGUGUAUGAGAUCAGGGCAGUGUGUGUGUGUGUGCAUGAGUGUGUGAGAUCAGGGUAGUGUGUGUGUGUGACAUCAGGGCAGUGUUUGUGUGUUUGUGUGAGAUCAGGGCAGUGUGUGUGUGUGCACGAGUGUGUGAGAUCACGGAAGUGUGUGUGUCAGGUCACCACAGUGUAUGUGCGGGUAUGCGUGUGUGUGUGCACAGGGAACACACGGACAGCCAUUCCAAGUACACACUCUCCUUGGGUAAAUCUGUGAGUAAUCAUUGCUCCAGCAGUGAGAGCCCGUGAGGGUGGUGCAGGAAGACUGUGGCCUGCCUCCUGAGGGAAGCAUUAAAAAAACAGUCAAAGGAAAACGAACUCAGCUCUCCCAGGGUGGAGGACGUGGAGGUGGGCAGCCAGGGAACAAAUCUGGUUGCUGCGAGCCUGUCAGAAAGGGCCCUAGUGCCCUGCCAGGAGGAAGGACUCUGGGCCAUGAGCAUGAUGGUCUUUGAAGGCCAGGAGAGCUAGCCUACCCCAGCUCUGCCACUAACUGUGCGACUCACGGUCACAUGAUGAUACCUCCUGGGCCCCAUAUACUUUAUCUGCAAAUGGGAAGAAGCACAGCCUCUGUGUCCACAGUGCUGUUGAGGUUGGAUCGGGGCUAACUGGCAAUCAGACAUGUGUCUAUAAAUGCCGGCGAGCCAGGCAGAGCCCAGGCCUGAGAGUCCACCAGGGUGGCAGGCCUUAAUCCGCGCUGCACAGAUCUGU
rnacentral:lncRNA from 10 species